GACGAACGCUGGCGGCGUGCUUAACACAUGCAAGUCGAACGGUGAAGGGACCGGUUUUUGCUGGUUCUGGAUGAGUGGCGAACGGGUGAGUAACACGUGAGUAACCUGCCCCCUUCUUCUGGAUAACCGCAUGAAAGUGUGGCUAAUACGGGGUAUUCUGCGCCUGCUGCAUGGGGGGUGUGGGAAAGAUAUUGUUUCGGUGGGGGAUGGGCUCGCGGCCUAUCAGCUUGGUGGGGGGGUGAUGGCCUACCAAGGCGGGUGAGGGUAGCCGGCCUGGAAGGGUGGGCGGUCGCACGAGGACGGAGACACGGACAAGACUACUACGAGAGGCAGCAGUGGGGAAUGGUGGACAAUGGGCGCAAGCGUGAUGCAGCGACGGCGAGUGAGAGAUGGAGGCCUUCGGGUUGUAAACCUCUUUCGCGAGUGAAGCAGGCCUGUCCCUUGUGUGGGUGGGUUGACGGUAGCUGGAUAAGAAGCGCCGGCUAACUACGUG
rnacentral:rRNA from 1 species